GACGGAGGGGGCUAGCGUUGUUCGGAAUUACUGGGCGUAAAGCGUGCGUAGACGGUUAUGUAAGUCGGGUGUGAAAGCCCCGGGCUCAACCUGGGAAUGCCAUUCGAGACUGCAUAGCUAGGGUGCGGAAGAGGGAAGCGGAAUUUCCGGUGUAGCGGUGAAAUGCGUAGAUAUCGGAAGGAACACCAGUGGCGAAAGCGGCUUCCUGGUCCAGCACCGACGUUCAGGCACGAAAGCGUGGGGAGCAAACAGG
rnacentral:rRNA from 1 species